GACGAACGCUGGCGGCGUGCUUAACACAUGCAAGUCGAACGGAAAGGCCCUGCUUUUGUGGGGUGAUCGAGUGGCGAACGGGUGAGUAACACGUGAGUAACCUGACCUUGACUUUGGGAUAACUUCAGGAAACUGGGGCUAAUACCGUAUAGGAGCUCCUGCUGCAUGGUGGGGGUUGGAAAGUUUCGGCGGUUGGGGAUGGACUCGCGGCUUAUCAGCUUGUUGGUGGGGUAGUGGCUUACCAAGGCUUUGGCGGGUAGCCGGCCUGAGAGGGAGACCGGCCACAUUGCGCCUGAGAUACGGCCCAGACUCCUACGGGAGGCAGCAGUGGGGAAUAUUGCACAAUGGGCGGAAGCCUGAUGCAGCAACGCCGCGUUCGGGAUGACGGCCUUCGGGUUGUAAACCGCAUUCGCCUGUGACGAAGCGUGAGUGACGGUAAUGGGUAAAGAAGCACCGGCUAACUACGUG
rnacentral:rRNA from 1 species